CCCUGUCGUCGAGAGUUAUAGUUAACCUUUAGCCGGUUAUGAUGGUGGCUAAAAGGUGCUUCCAUGCUCUUUGGCUGCCAUCGGACCUGGUUAAAGGUUAACAUUUUGCU
ensembl:miRNA gga-mir-6659 gga-mir-6659